UACGUAGGGCGCAAGCGUUGUCCGGAAUUAUUGGGCGUAAAGAGCUCGUAGGCGGCUUGUCACGUCGGGUGUGAAAGCCCGGGGCUUAACCCCGGGUCUGCAUUCGAUACGGGGCAGGCUAGAGUGUGGUAGGGGAGAUCGGAAUUCCUGGUGUAGCGGUGAAAUGCGCAGAUAUCAGGAGGAACACCGGUGGCGAAGGCGGAUCUCUGGGCCAUUACUGACGCUGAGGAGCGAAAGCGUGGGGAGCGAACAGG
rnacentral:rRNA from 1 species